AGCGUCUUAACUCAGUCGGUAGAGUGUUGGGCUCAUAUAUGCUGCAAGAUAUCCUUGGAGUAGCUACCCAAAUGUCCUCGGAUCAAGACCGAGAGACGCUA